rnacentral:rRNA from 1 species
GACGAACGCUGGCGGCGUGCCUAAUACAUGCAAGUCGAGCGGACGAAUCGAAAGCUUGCUUUUGAUUCGUUAGCGGCGGACGGGUGAGUAACACGUGGGCAACCUGCCCUGUAGACGGGGAUAACACCGAGAAAUCGGUGCUAAUACCGGAUAACACGAAAUGUCGCAUGACGUUUCGUUGAAAGACGGCGCAAGCUGCCGCUACAGGAUGGGCCCGCGGCGCAUUAGCUAGUUGGUGAGGUAACGGCUCACCAAGGCGACGAUACGUAGCCGACCUGAGAGGGUGAUCGGCCACACUGGGACUGAGACACGGCCCAGACUCCUACGGGAGGCAGCAGUAGGGAAUCUUCCGCAAUGGACGAAAGUCUGACGGAGCAACGCCGCGUGAGCGAAGAAGGCCUUCGGGUCGUAAAGCUCUGUUGUUAGGGAAGAACAAGUAACGCAGUAACUGGCGUCACCGUGACGGUACCUAACGAGAAAGCCACGGCUAACUACGUG